UACGUAGGGUGCAAGCGUUGUCCGGAAUUAUUGGGCGUAAAGAGCUCGUAGGCGGUCUGUCGCGUCUGCUGUGAAAACUCGGGGCUUAACCCCGGGCCUGCAGUGGGUACGGUCAGACUAGAGUGCGGUAGGGGAGACUGGAAUUCCUGGUGUAGCGGUGAAAUGCGCAGAUAUCAGGAGGAACACCGGUGGCGAAGGCGGGUCUCUGGGCCGUAACUGACGCUGAGGAGCGAAAGCGUGGGGAGCGAACAGG
rnacentral:rRNA from 1 species